CCGUGAUAGCUGGUUCUCCCCGAAAUGCAUUUAGGUGCAGCGUCACGUGUUUCUUCCCGGAGGUAGAGCUACUGGAUGGACGAUGGGCCCUACAAGGUUACUGACUUCAGCCAAACUCCGAAUGCCGGGAAGUGAGAGCGUGGCAGUGAGACUGUGGGGGAUAAGCUUCAUAGUCGAGAGGGAAACAGCCCAGACCACCGGUUAAGGCCCCUAAGCGUGUGCUAAGUGGGAAAGGAUGUGGAGUUGCUGAGACAACCAGGAGGUUGGCUUAGAAGCAGCCACCCUUGAAAGAGUGCGUAAUAGCUCACUGGUCAAGUGAUUCCGCGCCGACAAUGUAGCGGGGCUCAAGUACACCGCCGAAACCGUGGCAUUCAGUUUUGCUGGAUGGGUAGGGGAGCGUCGUUCACGAGGUGAAGCCAGCGGGUAACUUCUGGUGGAUUGUGGACGAGUGAGAAUGCAGGCAUGAGUAGCGAAAGACGGGUGAGAAACCCGUCCGCCGGAUGACUAAGGGUUCCAGGGUCAAGCUAAUCUGCCCUGGGUAAGUCGGGACCUAAGGCGAGGCCGACAGGCGUAGUCGAUGGACAACGGGUUGAUAUUCCCGUACCAGUGAAGAACCGCCCAUGCUGAGCCGGUGAUACUAACCGCCCGAACCAUCCCGAACCCCGUCUUUGACGGGGUCGGUGAUGGGGAGCGCGGGACCUGAACCGGGGAGGCAAGCGCAUUAACAGGUGUGACGCAGGAAGGUAGCCGGGCCGGGCAAUGGAAAUGACCUGGUCUAAGGGUGUAGGGCUGCCGGUAGGUAAAUCCGCCGGCUGUAUGCCUGAGACCUGAUGGGCGCCCACAUGGUGGGUGAUCCGGUGAUCCUAUGCUGCCUAGAAAAGCAUCGGCGCGAGGUUCAAACUGCCCGUACCCUAAACCGACACAGGUGGUCAGGUAGAGAAUACUAAGGCGAUCGAGAGAAUCAUGGUUAAGGAACUCGGCAAAAUGCCCCCGUAACUUCGGGAGAAGGGGGGCCCCAACCUUGAGCACCACGUGCUGGUGUGAGGGGAUCGGGGCCGCAGAGACCAGGGGGAAGCGACUGUUUAUCAAAAACACAGGUCCAUGCGAAGUCGUAAGACGAUGUAUAUGGACUGACUCCUGCCCGGUGCUGGAAGGUUAAGGGGACCCGUUAGCUUCGGCGAAGCGGAGAACUUAAGCCCCAGUAAACGGCGGUGGUAACNAUAACCAUCCUAAGGUAGCGAAAUUCCUUGUCGGGUAAGUUCCGACCUGCACGAAUGGAGUAACGACUUCCCCGCUGUCUCAACCNUGAACUCGGCGAAAUUGCAUUACGAGUAAAGAUGCUCGUUACGCGCAGAAGGACGGAAAGACCCCGUGACCUUUACUAUAGUUUGGUAUUGGUAUUCGGUGUGACUUGUGUAGGAUAGGUGGGAGACUGUGAAGCGGGCACGCCAGUGUUCGUGGAGUCNNCGUUGAAAUACCACUCUGGUCACUCUGGAUAUCUAACUUCGGCCCGUGAUCCGGGUCAGGGACAGUGCCUGAUGGGUAGUUUAACUGGGGCGGUUGCCUCCCAAAAUGUAACGGAGGCGCCCAAAGGUUCCCUCAGCCUGGUUGGCAAUCAGGUGGUGAGUGUAAGUGCACAAGGGAGCUUGACUGUGAGACAGACAUGUCGAGCAGGGACGAAAGUCGGGACUAGUGAUCCGGCACCUACUUGUGGAUGUGGUGUCGCUCAACGGAUAAAAGGUACCCCGGGGAUAACAGGCUGAUCUUCCCCAAGAGUCCAUAUCGACGGGAUGGUUUGGCACCUCGAUGUCGGCUCGUCGCAUCCUGGGGCUGGAGUAGGUCCCAAGGGUUGGGCUGU
rnacentral:rRNA from 1 species